GUGCAGCAGGCGAGAAUACUUUACAAUGUGCGAAAGCACGAUAAGGGAACUCUGAGUGCCUCCUAAGGAGGCUGUUCUGAUGUCUAAAAAGCAACAGAAGUAAGGGCUGGGUAAGACCGGUGCCAGCCGCCGCGGUAACACCCGGCAGCCCGAAGUGGUAGCCACGUUUAUUGGGUCUAAAGCGUUCGUAGCCGGCCAGGUAAGUUCCUUGGUAAAUUUAGCCGCUUAACGGUUAAGCUUUCAGGGAAUACUGCUUGGCUUGGGACUGGGAGAGGUCGAGAGGUACUCCGGGGGUAGGGGUGAAAUCUAUUAAUCCCUGGGGGACCACCGGUAGCGAAGGCGUCUGACCAGACCAGGUCCGACGGUGAGGGACGAAGGCUAGGGGCGCGAACCGGAUUAGAUA
rnacentral:rRNA from 1 species